UAAGACUGUACUGUUAAAUAUAUAAAAUUGGUACAGUACAGAAGAUUAAUAUAGCCCAUGUGCAAAAAUGACAUGCAAAUUUAUGAUGCAAUCCAUAUUUAC
ensembl:snRNA U6 U6 spliceosomal RNA